rnacentral:rRNA from 1 species
GGCAGACGGGUGCGUAACGCGUAUGCAAUCUACCCCAUACAGAGGAAUAGCUUUGGGAAACUGAAGGUAAUACCUCAUAGUUUCCGAGGAACGCAUGUUUUUCGGAAUAAAGCUCAGGCGGUAUGGGAUGAGCGUGCGUCCGAUUAGGUAGUUGGCGGGGUAACGGCCCACCAAGCCUACGAUCGGUAGCUGGUCUGAGAGGAUGAUCAGCCACACGGGCACUGAGACACGGGCCCGACUCCUACGGGAGGCAGCAGUAAGGAAUAUUGGACAAUGGACGCAAGUCUGAUCCAGCCAUCCCGCGUGGAGGAAUAAAGCCCUAUGGGUUGUAAACUCCUUUAGCUAGGGAAUAAAUCAUUGGAUUCAUCCGAUGUUGAAGGUACCUAGAGAAUAAGCACCGGCUAACUCCGUGCCAGCAGCCGCGGUAAUACGGAGGGUGCAAGCGUUAUCCGGAUUUACUGGGUUUAAAGGGUGCGUAGGUGGUUUAAUAAGUCAGUGGUGAAAUUUACCCGCUUAACGGGCAAGCUGCCAUUGAUACUGUUAGACUUGAAUGUGGUUGAAGUAGGCGGAAUAAAUCAUGUAGAGGUGAAAUUCUUAGAGAUGAUUUAGAACACCGAUUGCGAAGGCAGCUUACUAAGCCAUUAUUGACACUGAUGCACGAAAGCGUGGGGAUCAAACAGGAUUAGAUACCCUGGUAGUCCACGCCCUAAACGAUGAAUACUCGAUGUAUGCGAUACACUGUAUGCGUCUAAGCGAAAGCG